rnacentral:rRNA from 1 species
UACGUGGGGUGCAAGCGUUGUUCGGAAUUACUGGGCGUAAAGGGCUCGUAGGCGGCCAACUAAGUCAGACGUGAAAUCCCUCGGCUUAACCGGGGAACUGCGUCUGAUACUGGAUGGCUUGAGGUUGGGAGAGGGAUGCGGAAUUCCAGGUGUAGCGGUGAAAUGCGUAGAUAUCUGGAGGAACACCGGUGGCGAAGGCGGCAUCCUGGACCAAUUCUGACGCUGAGGAGCGAAAGCCAGGGGAGCAAACAGG